rnacentral:rRNA from 1 species
CCUACGGGGGGCAGCAGUGGGGAAUAUUGCACAAUGGGCGCAAGCCUGAUGCAGCCAUGCCGCGUGUGUGAAGAAGGCCUUCGGGUUGUAAAGCACUUUCAGCGGGGAGGAAGGCGUUAAGGUUAAUAACCUUGUCGAUUGACGUUACCCGCAGAAGAAGCACCGGCUAACUCCGUGCCAGCAGCCGCGGCAAUACGGAGGGUGCAAGCGUUAAUCGGAAUUACUGGGCGUAAAGCGCACGCAGGCGGUCUGUCAAGUCGGAUGUGAAAUCCCCGGGCUCAACCUGGGAACUGCAUUCGAAACUGGCAGGCUAGAGUCUUGUAGAGGGGGGUAGAAUUCCAGGUGUAGCGGUGAAAUGCGUAGGGAUCUGGAGGAAUACCGGUGGCGAAGGCGGCCCCCUGGGCAAAGACUGACGCUCAGGUGCGAAAGCGUGGGGAGCAAACAGGAUUAGAUACCCCAGUAGUC